rnacentral:rRNA from 1 species
CCUACGGGAGGCAGCAGUGAGGAAUAUUGGUCAAUGGACGCAAGUCUGAACCAGCCAUGCCGCGUGCAGGAAGACGGCUCUAUGAGUUGUAAACUGCUUUUGUACGAGGGUAAAUCCCGAUACGUGUAUCGGGUUGAAAGUAUCGUACGAAUAAGGAUCGGCUAACUCCGUGCCAGCAGCCGCGGUAAUACGGAGGAUUCAAGCGUUAUCCGGAUUUAUUGGGUUUAAGGGGUGCGUAGGCGGUUCGAUAAGUUAGAGGUGAAAGCCCGGGGCUCAACUCCGGCCCUGCCUCUGAUACUGUCGGGCUAGAGUGUAGUUGCGGUAGGCGGAAUGUAUGGUGUAGCGGUGAAAUGCAUAGAGAUCAUACAGAACACCGAUUGCGAAGGCAGCUUACCAAGCUACGACUGACGUUGAGGCACGAAAGCGUGGGGAGCAAACAGGAUUAGAUACCCGGGUAGUC